AGGGUCAAAGUGACGCACUGAAUCACAUAGAAGCUGACCUCUAAACAGCAACACAACCUAGUAUUCAUGCGCUAGCAUAGUUUGCUACCAAAUGGAGUUGUCAACAAUGAAGAGGAACAUGGUUGUGUGCGGGCUCAUGUAGACAGGAGGGUUGUGUUAUUUGCGAUAUAAUGAAGUUCAGGAUGGGAUGUGUGAGGCUGAUAGCUGGUGCGGUUCCUCUGGUACACACAGCUGCUUCAUCAGCUCCAACUUCACCAGCAGCGCCGCGCCAACUAGAGAUCAUCAGAUUCAGCUCCAUCAAAACAUGAAGUGUGUAACUGUUCUGUUCUGAAACAGGUCCAGGGAGACUUUGGGUGCAGGCAUGAAGGAGAGGGAGUGGAGAACCUGAAGUUGUGGAGGCCAGCCAUCAUCAACCACCUGUACUGGACUUCCACUCCUAAAGGAGAUCCAGAUGUGAUGAAGGCCGAGUGGCAAAGCAAAGUGAACCAUGGUCUGGACAUCCAUGAACUUGACACGCCUGCAUUUCUCUACUACACACAUCCACCUCUGGAGGGACAAACACCAAACAAAGGAGCGGCUAAAACCAGGUGCAGAAUGCUGUGUACAAUAUGUGGCUGUACAUGAUCAGAGGUCUAAUCUUCAGUGGUGCUGUUUGAAGCUUUAUCUGUACUGAUUCCAGUGUGCUCCAGCCAGAAAAUAAUCUGCUGGACAAUGUUCUUAACUAUAAGUAUACUGAUAACUCAAAGUGCAAUGAAUCACUUUUGUUAUUUUGUAAAGACAACACACCAAAGUUAGUAUUGAAGAUUAGUAUUGACGUCACACAUCAUGUCAGAGCUUUUCACUGGAGGUGUGUCACUCCUUCAUUCUCCACUUUGUACCAAAGCAUGCUGGUUUCUCCUUCCUUGAGAUGUACAGCAUGUUACUAUUGUGUGAUAUUUUAAGAAUUAGUGCCACUAAAACUAAAGCAGUCUAACAAAGCAACCCUGCCCUCAUUGAUAUACAUGGGGUGGAUAAAAUAUUAGAAACGCCUUGCAGUAUAAAGCAUUACUAUUCAACAGCACCACAAACUACAGCCUCCAAAAUGACCAUAAAGCUGAAUCUCAAACAGUUUCAAUAAAAACUGAACAUUGGAACCAUCAGGAACGUAGGAUUUAUUGCAGGGCUGUUGGAUGAGACUGCAUUAGCUUUGGCUAGGUCUAACUAAUAAACUGGGAACUGAGUGCAUUGAUAUAUUCCUUUUUGACAAUGUCCAAAAUGCACCUUACAGUGACAGUGUGACACUACACAUCACAUGAAAAAUAAGGUUCUAUAAUAUAUAUAUAUGUACAA